ACGGAAGGCAGCAGUGGGGAAUAUUGGACAAUGGGCGCAAGCCUGAUCCAGCAACGCCGCGUGAGGGAUGACGGCCUUCGGGUUGUAAACCUCUUUCAGCAGGGACGAAGCGAAAGUGACGGUACCUGCAGAAGAAGGACCGGCCAACUACGUGCCAGCAGCCGCGGUAAUACGUAGGGUCCGAGCGUUGUCCGGAAUUAUUGGGCGUAAAGGGCUCGUAGGCGGCCUGUCGCGUCGGGAGUGAAAACUCGGGGCUCAACCCCGAGCGUGCUUUCGAUACGGGCAGGCUAGAGGUAUGCAGGGGAGAAUGGAAUUCCUGGUGUAGCGGUGGAAUGCGCAGAUAUCAGGAGGAACACCGGUGGCGAAGGCGGUUCUCUGGGCAUCACCUGACGCUGAGGAGCGAAAGCAUGGGGAGCGAACAGGAUUAGAUACCCUGGUA
rnacentral:rRNA from 1 species